rnacentral:rRNA from 1 species
GAUCAUUAUUGAAAAUAAACCUGAUGGGUUGCUGCUGGCUCUCUAGGGAGCAUGUGCACACUUGUCAUCUUUAUAUCUCCUCCUGUGCACCUUUUGUAGACCUGGGGAUAUCUUUCUGACUGCGUAAGCAAUUCAGGUUUGAGGAUUUGACGUUGUCUUUCCUUGUGUUUUCAGGUCUAUGUUUCUUCAUAUACCCCAAUGUAUGUUAUAGAAUGUAAUUUGGGCCUCUGUGCCUAUAAACCUUAUACAACUUUCAGCAACGGAUCUCUUGGCUCUCGCAUCGAUGAAGAACGCAGCGAAAUGCGAUAAGUAAUGUGAAUUGCAGAAUUCAGUGAAUCAUCGAAUCUUUGAACGCACCUUGCGCUCCUUGGUAUUCCGAGGAGCAUGCCUGUUUGAGUGUCAUUAAUAUAUCAACCUCUUCAGCUUUUGCUUGCUGAGUGUUGGAUGUGGGGGGUAUUUUGCUGGUCUCUUUUUGAAAUCAGCUCCCCUAAAAUGCAUUAGCGGAACAAUUAUGUUGACCGUUCAUUGGUGUGAUAAUUAUCUACGCUAUUGACGUGAAACAAGUUCAGCUUCUAAUAGUCCAUUAACUUGGACAAUUUUCAUUAAUGUGACCUCAAAUCAGGUAGG